ACACGACUACAUUAGAUACCCGCGUAGUCCUAGCCGUAAACGAUACUCGCUAGGUGUCGGCCACGGUGCGACCGUUGUCGGUGCCGUAGAGAAGCCGUGAAGCGAGCCACCGUGGGAAGUACGGCCGCAAGGCUGAAACUUAAAGGAAUUGGCGGGGGAGCACAACAACGGGUGGAGCUUGCGGUUUAAUUGGAUUCAACGCCGGAAAUCUUACCGGGACCGACAGCAACAUGAAGGCCAAGCUGAAGACUUUGCCGGAUUAGCUG
rnacentral:rRNA from 1 species